GUAAUGGCUUUUUUAAAAGCCAAAGCACACACACACAAAAAUCCCC
rfam:Anas platyrhynchos breed Pekin duck contig86874, whole genome shotgun sequence.